rnacentral:rRNA from 1 species
AGGAAUUGACGGGGGCCCGCACAAGCGGUGGAGCAUGUGGUUUAAUUCGAAGCAACGCGAAGAACCUUACCAGGUCUUGACAUCCUCUGACAAUCCUAGAGAUAGGACGUCCCCUUCGGGGGCAGAGUGACAGGUGGUGCAUGGUUGUCGUCAGCUCGUGUCGUGAGAUGUUGGGUUAAGUCCCGCAACGAGCGCAACCCUUGAUCUUAGUUGCCAGCAUUCAGUUGGGCACUCUAAGGUGACUGCCGGUGACAAACCGGAGGAAGGUGGGGAUGACGUCAAAUCAUCAUGCCCCUUAUGACCUGGGCUACACACGUGCUACAAUGGACAGAACAAAGGGCAGCGAAACCGCGAGGUUAA